rnacentral:rRNA from 1 species
UAGGGAAUCUUCGGCAAUGGGGGGCAAACCCUGACCGAGCAACGCCGCGUGAGUGAAGAAGGUUUUCGGAUCGUAAAGCUCUGUUGUAAGAGAAGAACGUGUGUGAGAGUGGAAAGUUCACACAGUGACGGUAACUUACCAGAAAGGGACGGCUAACUACGUGCCUG